UAGAGAUUCAAUAAAAGGUGUCAUUAAAGAUGCAUUUACUGAAUGUGCCAGAAUAAUAGAUAUUUUGCACAUGCUCGGUGCCUCCAAUUCUCGUGAAGUUUUACUUAAGAGUAUAUGUGAAAUGUCUGUUGUGGAAAUCUUAUUCCCGAACUCAUCCCUCUCUUUUCCAUUGGUGAAACAGUGGAUAAAGAUGUUAUGUAAAGAAUUUAGAGAUGUCGAUCGAGUGGAUAGUGCUCCAUUGCUUGCUUCAUCGUUGCUUGUCCAUUGUCCAAGAUUGCCAAACAAUAUUUUGGGAGAGAUUCUUGAACAGGCAUGGUCUCAUAAAACUAUUGUAAUGACAUGAGAUUUUCACUUCUUACAUUAGUAUUCUACAUUAAUUCUAUAUUGGAUUUACAGGAACUUCAAGCAUAUGAUCAACUAAAAGCAUGGAACCCUGUACAUUGCCAUAAAAUGGAGAUCAGAGUAAUCAAUUUUCUCUUGAUGAAUGUUUUUAAUUUUAAAGAUUUCAACCUGCAGAGAUCUAGGGUUCUUUUGAGGAAGAGUUUGGUACUUAGAACUCGUGGGAUAGAAAGUUUCUUCAGCAGUUUUGGCUGUCUCAGUGAAGCUAUUUCCCUUUCGGAGACUAUAACUUAUGAUUCACCGGAAACAAGCACUUUUGGAUAUCAUUAUUUGGCUUUUGUUUAUUUCCUACGAGCACAAAUUGCUGAAGAUACUAAAAAGG